UGUGCCUCUAAGACAAAUUAACUGAUGAACCUGGAAUAAAAAGUAGGAUUUAGAUCUAAAGACCAAAAUUCCUAAAAGGUCUUAAAAUUCUACAGCUACAGGAUUUUUAUGAAUGCAGUAAGGAGCAGCACAUAAGAGGUCUUCAGGGAGGACGCUUCAGCCUUGGGAGCAGACUUCUGCUUGUCCUUAAGAGGAGACUCAAAGGAAAAGUGACCAAAUGAGAAUGUUUCUGAAAGAUUAAAACCAGGCAGGGCACUGUCCCUUCACUUGCCUGGUAGUAAUCCUUACCAUAAUGAGGUUUGCUGCAGUCUGCCAGGCUGUUCUGCAGGCAAACAGAGCCAUCCAAAUAAAUUACAACACCAAUAAUAG